GAAAUCAAAUGUUAGUGAAAGUUUCCGUCGGUGGGCGAGAACAGGAAGAACGGCUACACAAUAAAAUUGACCUGGCAUGCCCGCAGUUAUGAAUGACAGAUUACUUACACCUUCUAGUAGUAGUAAACCUCGCAUGAAAUACCAGGGAUAAUUAGCAGGACAAACAAACAAGCAAAGACCCACUUGUUUGUAUGUUUUAUCUUCCACCUAUAAAAGAGGCAGAAGCUGCGGGCUCAAUCCAGGGUUGUACUUCAACUAUCCUGCUUCAACUGUCCUUCAAGUGUCCUGCGACCACCAGAAUGAAGCUCUCUUUUGUGCUUUUUACCCUUGGCCUUCUUCUGACCAUGACAACUGAUUUCGCUGCCGGACAGUUCCAGUACGCAGUGGACGUAAAUUGCAUGUCACAUGCUGGUGAUUGCACAGCAGAUGGUGGGAAAUGUGGAACACCUCAAGAUGACUGCCGGUGUUCCUGGUUGUCGGGGCUUUCCUAUUAUCGGUGCGAAUAGCACGAGCAGAAGAACACAGUGCGCGUGCUUAAGAAGCACACUGCGGUAUACUACACUGAAAAUGAAGAUAAAUACUGUGGAACAAUAAAGACAAAAAAAAACACAAUUCUUAUAUAAAGCAAGCAGCAAUAUUUCAUUAUUUCUUUCUUUCACCAGCGCUAUCCCUUCCGUACGCAAAGGCGAUAGCGUACGUAAGGGAUAGCGUGGUACUGCGCAAUUCGCGAAGACCUGUUUUAUGGUUACGCAUGCGUAGAACCACCAACGCAAUCCAUUACGUACGCUGUCUUCUUUGCGUACGUAAGGGGGGAAUAUGUUUGAUAGAAUGAAAAGAAAGAAAAAUGAAAAUGUCAGCCAGGCUAAUGCCGGUAGCCGGCUUGCUAUUUCAAUAAAGGAUGGAGCUUGUGUAAUCUUGUGCAAUCUUUGUGUAAUCUGUUUGGAAGAAACUCAAAAUAAACACAGGAAAAAAAAAAAGAAAAAGAAA